ACAACCUCCCAAUACACCAAAUCCACCAUUUCUGGUUUUAAAGCAAAGAAAAAGUUGGGAAUUUUGAUGGGUUUUCUUGUUGAUUCACACAAAGAUGGUGGAUUUGGUGUAUUGGGAGGUUGUGUUAGGAGUUUGGUAAGGAGAAAACAGGUUGAUUCUGCACAUGCCAAAGCUAAUGCUCACCAUAAGUUAGCCAAGGAGUUGUCUGUUCCUCACCUUAUUGCAAUCGGUGUUGGCUCGACAAUUGGCGCUGGAGUUUAUAUUCUGGUUGGAACGGUUGCUAGAGAGCAUUCUGGUCCAGCUCUCACGAUUUCCUUUCUGAUAGCUGGAAUCGCUGCUGCUCUUUCUGCUUUUUGCUAUGCAGAGCUUGCAAGCCGUUGUCCAUCUGCAGGCAGUGCCUAUCACUAUUCUUAUAUAUGUGUUGGAGAAGGUGUUGCAUGGUUGAUUGGCUGGGCUCUAAUAUUGGAAUACACAAUUGGUGGAUCAGCAGUUGCUCGUGGCAUAUCCCCCAAUCUGGCAUUCUUUUUCGGAGGUCAGGAUAGUCUUCCUAUUUUUCUAGCUCGUCAGUACAUUCCUGGGCUUGAUAUUGUGGUUGACCCUGUUGCUGCAAUUUUAGUAUUUAUUGUUACUGGACUCUUGUGUGUGGGAAUCAAGGAGAGUACCCUGGUACAAGGUACAGUCACCACUGUGAAUGUCUGUGUCAUGCUUUUUGUCAUAAUAGCUGGUAGUUACCUGGGCUUCAAGACUGGAUGGAGAGGAUAUGGACUUCCCACUGGGUAUUUUGCCUUCGGAGUAGAUGGGAUGCUCGCAGGGUCUGCAACUGUCUUUUUUGCUUAUAUUGGUUUUGAUUCAGUUGCUAGCACUGCUGAGGAGGUGAAGAAUCCUCAACGAGAUUUGCCUUUGGGCAUAGGCCUUGCACUGUCUAUUUGUUGUACCUUAUACAUGUUGGUUUCGGUAGUUAUUGUGGGGCUGGUACCUUAUCAUGCGAUGAAUCCUGAUACUCCAAUCUCCUCUGCAUUUGCUGAGCAUGGCAUGCAGUGGGCAGCGUACAUAAUAACAGCUGGAGCUGUUAUGGCACUCUGUUCAACACUGAUGGGCUCGGAUUCUUCCUCAGCCACGAAUGUUAAUGGCAAUGGCUAGAGAUGGAUUACUGCCAUCAUUUUUUUUAGAUGUAAAUAAAAAUACACAAGUACCUGUAAAGAGCACUUUGGCAACUGGCAUUGGUGCUGCAAUGUUGGCAUUUUUUAUGGAUGUUGAUCAGUUGGCUGGAAUGGUCAGUGUGGGCACACUUCUUGCUUUCA
rnacentral:misc_RNA from 1 species